rnacentral:rRNA from 1 species
UAGGGGAAUAUUGGGCAAUGGAUGAGARUCURACCCAGCCAUACCCGCGUGGUGGAAGAAGGUCWUCGGAUUGUAAAACACAUUUUGCAGGAGAAAAAGUCGGGGCUGCGGCCUUAGGUGAUGGUAUACUGCGAAUAAGCACCGGCUAACUACGUGCCAGCAGCCGCGGUAAAACGUAGGGUGCAAGCGUUGUCCGGAUUUAUUGGGUUUAAAGGGUACGUAGGCGGUWGGAUAAGUCAGUGGUGAAAGGUAGCCGCUCAACGGUUGUUAUGCCAUUGAUACUGUUUAACUUGAGUACGAGAGGGGUUACUGGAAUUUGUGGUGUAGCGGUGAAAUGCAUAGAUACCACAAGGAACACCGAAAGCGAAGGCAGGUAACUGGCUCGUAACUGACGCUGAGGUACGACAGUGCGGGGAUCAAACAGGAUUAGAUACCCUGGUAGUCCACGCUGUAAACGAUGAUAACUCGUUGUUGGCAUUUGAUGUCAGUGACUAAGGGAAACCGAUAAGUUAUCCACCUGGGGAGUACGGCCGCAAGGUUG